UACGGAGGGUGCAAGCGUUAUCCGGAUUCACUGGGUUUAAAGGGUGCGUAGGUGGGCCUGUAAGUCAGUGGUGAAAUCUCCGGGCUUAACCCGGAAACUGCCAUUGAUACUAUAGGUCUUGAAUUUUCUGGAGGUCAGCGGAAUAUGUCAUGUAGCGGUGAAAUGCUUAGAUAUGACAUAGAACACCAAUUGCGAAGGCAGCUCACUACACGAAUAUUGACACUGAGGCGCGAAAGCGUGGGGAUCAAACAGG
rnacentral:rRNA from 1 species